UACGUAGGGUCCGAGCGUUGUCCGGAAUUAUUGGGCGUAAAGGGCUCGUAGGCGGUUUGUCGCGUCGGGAGUGAAAACUCAGGGCUCAACCCUGAGCGUGCUUUCGAUACGGGCAGACUAGAGGUAUGCAGGGGAGAAUGGAAUUCCUGGUGUAGCGGUGAAAUGCGCAGAUACCAGGAGGAACACCGGUGGCGAAGGCGGUUCUCUGGGCAUUACCUGACGCUGAGGAGCGAAAGCAUGGGGAGCGAACAGG
rnacentral:rRNA from 1 species